CCUACGGGAGGCAGCAGUGGGGAAUAUUGCACAAUGGGGGAAACCCUGAUGCAGCAACGCAGCGUGAGUGAAGAAGUAUUUCGGUAUGUAAAGCUCUAUCAGCAGGGAAGAAGAAAGACGGUACCUGACUAAGAAGCCCCGGCUAUCUACGUGCCAGCAGCCGCGGUAAUACGUAGGGGACAAGCGUUAUCCGGGGUUACUGGGUGUAAAGGGAGCGUAGGCGGUUGGGUAAGGCUGAAGUGAAAGGCCGGGGCUCAACCGUGGAAUUGCUUUGGAAACUGUAUAGCUUGAGUACUGGAGAGGCAGGCGGAAUUCGUAGUGUAGCGGUGAAAUGCGUAGAUAUUAGGAAGAACACCAGUGGCGAAGGCGGCCUGCUGGACAGAAACUGACGUUGAGGCUCGAAAGCGUGGGGAGCAAACAGGAUUAGAUACCCGAGUAGUC
rnacentral:rRNA from 1 species